AAUAUUAGAGUGAAGAAGGGGCCCCACAGGAAGGAAUUCUGGAAGAUAUGCCCGUGGAUCCUGACAAUGAAGCUUAUGAAAUGCCUUCUGAGGAAGGGUAUCAAGACUAUGAACCCGAAGCCUAAGAAAUAUCUUUGCUCCUAGUUUCCUGAGAUCUGCUGACAGAUGUUCCAUCCUGUAAAAGUGCUCAGUUCCAAUGUGCCCAGUCAUGACAUUUUCUCAAAGUUUUUACAGUGUAUUUUGAAGUCUUCCAUCAGCAGUGAUUGAACUAUCCAUACCUGCUCCUACUCAGCAUUUCAGUGCUUCCCUCUCACUGAAGUGAAUAUAUGGUAGCAGGAUCCUUGUGUGCUGUGGAUAUUGUGGCUUCAAAUCUAAAAUGUUAAAAUUAAAAACACCUAAGUGACUAACACUUAUUUCUAAAUCUUCACCUUUUUUGUUGCUGUUGAGAAAUUGUUAGUGAUUUACUCUCAUAUAUCAUAAGAUUUUUAGGUGUCUUUAAUGAUCCCUUCUGUCUGAGAAUAAUGGUGUAUUGUGAAAUUUGUUAAUAUAUAUAAUAGUUAAAAUGUGAGCAUGAAACUAUGCACCUAUAAAUAUUAACUAUGAAAGUUUACUGUUUUGUGAUGUGUUUUAUUAACUUGUGUUUGUAUAUAAAUGGUGAAAACUAAAAUAAAAUGUUAUCUCAUUUCAAAAAUA